rnacentral:rRNA from 1 species
AGAGUUUGAUCCUGGCUCAGAACGAACGCUGGCGGCGUGCUUAACACAUGCAAGUCUAACGAGAAAGUUUCCUUCGGGGAACGAGUAAAGUGGCGCACGGGUGAGUAACACGUGGGUAACCUACCCUUCAGUCUGGGAUAACACUUCGAAAGGGGUGCUAAUACCGGAUACGUUCAAUUAGGCUUUGGCUUUUUUGAAGAAAGAUGGCCACUAUACUAUGCUGUCACUGAUUGAUGGGCCCGCGGACCAUUAGCUUGUUGGUAAGGUAACGGCUUACCAAGGCUGCGAUGGUUAGCUGGUCUGAGAGGAUGAUCAGCCACACUGGUACUGGAACACGGACCAGACUCCUACGGGAGGCAGCAGUGGGGAAUAUUGCGCAAUGGGGGAAACCCUGACGCAGCAACGCCGCGUGAGUGAUGAAGGCCCUUGGGUCGUAAAGCUCUGUCAGAGGGGAAGAAGGUGCUAGGGUUAAUACCCUUGGUUACUUGACGGUACCCUCAAAGGAAGCACCGGCUAACUCCGUGCCAGCAGCCGCGGUAAUACGGAGGGUGCAAGCGUUGUUCGGAAUUACUGGGCGUAAAGGGCGCGUAGGCGGCCGUUUAAGUCAGAUGUGAAAGCCCACGGCUCAA